UCAAAGUGCAGUGAUAAUUUCAUCAGUUGGUGAGUUUUUGCAUUAGAUUCAUAAAACAUUUUUGUAAAAGGAUGCACUUAUGUUAAGAUUUUGUUUUCCUGUCUUCAGCUGUGGUUAAUUUCAUUUGGUGGAUGGUUUUACUUGCAGCCAUUGGCUUUGGGGCCAUGCAUUUGCAGAGUUGUCCCGCUGAACCUUAUAUUCCCAUCUAUAUGAUCGUUCUGGGAUCAGCCAGUCUGGUCUCUCUGACUCUGACUUACACCAAAAGCAUUUGGGUGGAUGGCCCUGUGCUUCUGGUGACCACCACAUGUUUGGGUUUGCUGUAUCUCUUUGACUUCUGUUGGUUUAUUGCAGGCUCAGUGUGGGUAUACAGCGUCUAUCCACCCGACUACUCCACUGAAUCUCCUCAUUUCUGCUAUAAACCAUUCUACAUCUUUGCCUUUGUUAUCACCACUCUGGUUUGGGCAUCUGUAGGUUUAAUAUUUAUCUGUGGAUGCUGCUUCUUUGUAUGCACCUGUUGCACAGCUGCAGGAACAGGACAGAGCCUGCUGUCUGGUCGCAUCAAUUUCUAUGGUACAACUUCAACUAGUGAUUAUAGACCUAUCUCUGGUGAUGUGUAAAAUGUGUUCAAUUACGUA
ensembl:lncRNA